UACAGAGGUCUCAAGCGUUGUUCGGAAUUACUGGGCGUAAAGGGCUCGUAGGCGGCCAACUAAGUCAGACGUGAAAUCCCUCGGCUUAACCGGGGAACUGCAUCUGAUACUGCAAAUCUCGAGUCCGGAAGAGGUGAGUGGAAUUCCUAGUGUAGAGGUGAAAUUCGUAGAUAUUAGGAAGAACACCAGUGGCGAAGGCGGCUCACUGGUCCGGUACUGACGCUGAGGUGCGAAAGCGUGGGGAGCAAACAGG
rnacentral:rRNA from 1 species